rnacentral:rRNA from 1 species
GACGAACGCUGGCGGCGUGCCUAAUACAUGCAAGUAGAACGCUGAAGAGAGGAGCUUGCUCUUCUUGGAUGAGUUGCGAACGGGUGAGUAACGCGUAGGUAACCUGCCUUGUAGCGGGGGAUAACUAUUGGAAACGAUAGCUAAUACCGCAUAACAAUGGAUGACACAUGUCAUUUAUUUGAAAGGUGCAAUUGCACCACUACCAGAUGGACCUGCGUUGUAUUAGCUAGUUGGUGGGGUAACGGCUCACCAAGGCGACGAUACAUAGCCGACCUGAGAGGGUGAUCGGCCACACUGGGACUGAGACACGGCCCAGACUCCUACGGGAGGCAGCAGUAGGGAAUCUUCGGCAAUGGACGAAAGUCUGACCGAGCAACGCCGCGUGAGUGAAGAAGGUUUUCGGAUCGUAAAGCUCUGUUGUAAGAGAAGAACGAGUGUGAGAGUGGAAAGUUCACACUGUGACGGUAUCUUACCAGAAAGGGACGGCUAACUACGUGCCAGCAGCCGCGGUAAUACGUAGGUCCCGAGCGUUGUCCGGAUUUAUUGGGCGUAAAGCGAGCGCAGGCGGUUAGAUAAGUCUGAAGUUAAAGGCUGUGGCUUAACCAUAGUACGCUUUGGAAACUGUUUAACUUGAGUGCAAGAGGGGAGAGUGGAAUUCCAUGUGUAGCGGUGAAAUGCGUAGAUAUAUGGAGGAACACCGGUGGCGAAAGCGGCUCUCUGGCUUGUAACUGACGCUGAGGCUCGAAAGCGUGGGGAGCAAACAGG